rnacentral:piRNA from 1 species
GAAAUGGAGAAGCCUAGAGGA